rnacentral:rRNA from 1 species
ACGGGUGAGUAACGUCUGGGAAACUGCCCGAUGGAGGGGGAUAACUACUGGAAACGGUAGCUAAUACCGCAUAACGUCGCAAGACCAAAGUGGGGGACCUUCGGGCCUCACACCAUCGGAUGUGCCCAGAUGGGAUUAGCUAGUAGGUGGGGUAAUGGCUCACCUAGGCGACGAUCCCUAGCUGGUCUGAGAGGAUGACCAGCCACACUGGAACUGAGACACGGUCCAGACUCCUACGGGAGGCAGCAGUGGGGAAUAUUGCACAAUGGGCGCAAGCCUGAUGCAGCCAUGCCGCGUGUAUGAAGAAGGCCUUCGGGUUGUAAAGUACUUUCAGCGGGGAGGAAGGCGGUGAAGUUAAUAGCUUCACCGAUUGACGUUACCCGCAGAAGAAGCACCGGCUAACUCCGUGCCAGCAGCCGCGGUAAUACGGAGGGUGCAAGCGUUAAUCGGAAUUACUGGGCGUAAAGCGCACGCAGGCGGUCUGUCAAGUCGGAUGUGAAAUCCCCGGGCUUAACCUGGGAACUGCAUUCGAAACUGGCAGGCUGGAGUCUUGUAGAGGGGGGUAGAAUUCCAGG